rnacentral:rRNA from 1 species
GACGUAGGGCGCGAGCGUUGUCCGGAUUUAUUGGGCGUAAAGAGCUCGUAGGCGGCUUGUCGCGUCGAAUGUGAAAUCUCAGGGCUCAACUCUGACAUUGCAUUCGAUACGGGCAGGCUCGAGUUCGGUAGGGGAGACUGGAAUUCCUGGUGUAGCGGUGAAAUGCGCAGAUAUCAGGAGGAACACCAAUUGCGAAGGCAGCUCGCUGGGACGUUACUGACGCUGAGACGCGAAAGCUAGGGGAGCGAACAGG